AGCGUAGGCGGAGCGACAAGCGGUCUGUACAAUGCCGGGGCCUAACCCGGACCUGCAGACCGGACUGCCGUUCUUGAGUCGUUCAGAGGCUAGCGGAAUUCCUGGUGUAGCGGUGGAAUGCGUAGAUAUCAGGAAGAACACCGAUGGCGAAGGCAGCUAGCUGGGGACGUACUGACGCUGAGGCUCGAAAGCGCGGGAAGCAAACA
rnacentral:rRNA from 1 species